UGGUGGUUCAUCUUAGCUGUUGCUGCUGCUGCCGUUGUUGUCGUCAUCGUCAUCGGUGGUAAUUACCUCUUUAUAAAAUGUAACAAGAAGAAGAGUUUGAAUAAACUGACUGGGCAUGACUCUGGUGAAGAUGAGACCAAUGAGACCAGUAUCCCUCUUACAACAAUCACAAUAAACCAUCAUGAAACAUAAACAUUUUUCAUGAGAAGGAUGUCAGACUGAUGAAUGUCUCAAGACCUCAGGAUGGUUUGCAUCUGUGGAGACCUGAUUUCAGAGAAGAAGAAAGAAAAAAACAAAA